UAUGGAACACCCAGUACUGGGAGU
rnacentral:piRNA from 1 species